rnacentral:rRNA from 1 species
UCGGGAAUUUUGGGCAAUGGGCGAAAGCCUGACCCAGCAACGCCGCGUGAGGGAUGAAGUAUUUCGGUAUGUAAACCUCGAAAGAAUGGGAAGAAUAAAUGACGGUACCAUUUAUAAGCUCCGGCUAACUACGUGCCAGCAGCCGCGGUAAUACGUAGGGAGCAAGCGUUGUUCGGAUUUACUGGGCGUAAAGGGCGCGUAGGCGGCGCGGUAAGUCACUUGUGAAAUCUCUGAGCUUAACUCAGAACGGCCAAGUGAUACUGCUGUGCUAUAGUGCGGAAGAGGCAACCGGAAUUCUUGGUGUAGCGGUGAAAUGCGUAGAUAUCAAGAGGCACACCUGAGGCGAAGGCGGGUUGCUGGGCCGACACUGACGCUGAUGCGCGAAAGCCAGGGGAGCAAACG